rnacentral:rRNA from 2 species
CCUGGUGUUUCUAGCGUCGUGGACCCACCCUGACCCAUCUCGAACUCAGGUGUGAAACGUGACAGCGGCGAAGAUAGUUGGAGGGUAGCCUCCCGCAAAAAUAGCUCAUCGCCAGGU